rnacentral:sRNA from 1 species
UUCCGGCUUACGCAUCAUAAAAAGUGC